rnacentral:sRNA from 1 species
AAAGCCUACAGCACCUGGUAUUCCCAGGUGGUCUCCCAUCUAAGUUCUAACCAGGCCCGACCCUGCUUAGCUUCCAGGAUCAGA